UACGAGGGGGGCAAGCGUUGGUUCGGAAUUAUUGGGCGUAAAGGGCGCGUAGGCGGUUUGACAAGUCUGAUGUGAAAUCUAUGGGCUCAACCCAUAGCCUGCAUUAGAAACUGUCGGGCUUGAGUAUGGGAGAGGUGAGUGGAAUUUCCGGUGUAGCGGUGAAAUGCGUAGAUAUCGGAAGGAACACCUGUGGCGAAAGCGGCUCACUGGACCAUAACUGACGCUGAGGCGCGAAAGCUAGGGGAGCAAACAGG
rnacentral:rRNA from 1 species